rnacentral:rRNA from 1 species
GAUCUCAGUUCGGACUGUAGGGCUGCAACUCGCCUACACGAAGUUGGAAUUGCUAGUAAUCGUGGAUCAGCAUGCCACGGUGAAUACGUUCCCGGGUCUUGUACACACCGCCCGUCACACCAUGGGAGCUGGUAACACCCGAAGUCAGUAGUCUAACCGCAAGGAGGACGCUGCCGAAGGUGGGAUUAGCGACUGGGGGUGAAGUCGUAACAAGGUACC